CCUACGGGCGGCUGCAGUGGGGAAUAUUGGGCAAUGGACGCAAGUCUGACCCAGCAACGCCGCGUGAAGGAAGAAGGCUUUCGGGUUGUAAACUUCUUUUAAGGGGGAAGAGCAGAAGACGGUACCCCUUGAAUAAGCCACGGCUAACUACGUGCCAGCAGCCGCGGUAAUACGGAGGUGGCAAGCGUUGUCCGGAUUUACUGGGUGUAAAGGGCGUGCAGCCGGAGAGACAAGUCAGAUGUGAAAUCCACGGGCUCAACCCGUGAACUGCAAUUGAAACUGUUUCCCUUGAGUGUCGGAGAGGUAAUCGGAAUUCGUGGUGUAGCGGUGAAAUGCGUAGAUAUCACGAAGAACUCCGAUUGCGAAGGCAGCAUACCGGCGCCCGACUGACGCUGAGGCACGAAAGCGUGGGGAUCGAACAGGAUUAGAUACCCCUGUAGUC
rnacentral:rRNA from 1 species